rnacentral:rRNA from 1 species
UACGUAGGUGGCAAGCGUUAUCCGGAAUUACUGGGCGUAAAGCGCACGCAGGCGGUCUUUUAAGUUUGACGUGAAAGCUCCCGGCUUAACUGGGAGAGGUCGUUGAAGACUGGAAGACUUGAGGCAAUGAGAGGGGUGUAGAAUUCCCGGUGUAGUGGUGGAAUGCGUAGAUAUCAGGAGGAACACCGGUGGCGAAGGCGGGUCUCUGGGCAGUAACUGACGCUGAGGAGCGAAAGCGUGGGGAGCGAACAGG